UGGGGAAUUUUGGACAAUGGGCGAAAGCCUGAUCCAGCAAUGCCGCGUGUGUGAAGAAGGCCUUCGGGUUGUAAAGCACUUUUGUCCGGAAAGAAAUCCUUGGCUCUAAUACAGUCGGGGGAUGACGGUACCGGAAGAAUAAGCACCGGCUAACUACGUGCCAGCAGCCGCGGUAAUACGUAGGGUGCAAGCGUUAAUCGGAAUUACUGGGCGUAAGCGUGCGCAGGCGGUUUGCUAAGACCGAUGUGAAAUCCCCGGGCUCAACCUGGGAACUGCAUUGGUGACUGGCAGGCUAGAGUAUGGCAGAGGGGGGUAGAAUUCCACGUGUAGCAGUGAAAUGCGUAGAGAUGUGGAGGAAUACCGAUGGCGAAGGCAGCCCCCUGGGCCAAUACUGACGCUCAUGCACGAAAGCGUGGGGAGCAAACAGGAUUAGAUACCCUGGUAGUCCACGCCCUAAACGAUGUCAACUAGUUGUUGGGGAUUCAUUUCCUUAGUAACGUAGCUAACGCGUGAAGUUGACCGCCUGGGGAGUACGGUCGCAAGAUUAAAACUCAAAGGAAUUGACGGGGUCAUAGCUGUUUCCU
rnacentral:rRNA from 1 species